AGUACCACGGGACACGUGAAACCCUGUGGGAAGCAGGAGGGACCACCCUCCAAGGCUAAAUACUACCUAGUGACCGAUAGCGUAUAGUACCGUGAGGGAAAGGUGAAAAGAACCCCGGGAGGGGAGUGAAAUAGAACCUGAAACCCUGCACUUACAAGCUGUGGAAGCACAUUUCUUGUGUGACCGCGUACUUUUUGUAGAACGGGCCAACGAGUUACGUUAAGUAGCAAGGUUAAGCACUUAAGGUGCGGAGCCGUAGCGAAAGCGAGUUUUAACUGAGCGUUCAGUUACUUGACGUAGACCCGAAACCGGGCGACCUACCCAUGAGCAGGAUGAAGCGAAAGUAAAAUUUCGUGGAGGUCCGAACCCACGAGCGUUGAAAAGCUCGGGGAUGACUUGUGGGUAGCGGUGAAAUUCCAAUCGAGCCCGGAGAUAGCUGGUUCUCCCCGAAAUAGCUUUAGGGCUAGCCUCAAGGUGAGAGAUACGGAGGUAGAGCACUGAAUGUCCUAGGGGGUAUUGCACCUACCGAAGACUAUCAAACUCCGAAUGCCGUCAUCUUAUACUUGGGAGUCAGACUGUGGGUGAUAAGAUUCAUAGUCGAAAGGGCAACAGCCCAGAUCGUCAGCUAAGGUCCCUAAAUGUAAGUUAAGUGGUAAAGGAUGUGGGAUUGCACAGACAACCAGGAUGUUGGCUUAGAAGCAGCCACUCAUUCAAAGAGUGCGUAAUAGCUCACUGGUCGAGUGAUCCUGCGCCGAAGAUUUCCGGGGCUAAAACUU
rnacentral:rRNA from 1 species